rnacentral:snRNA from 1 species
GGAUGUGAGGGCGAUCUGUCUGCGACAUCUGUCACCCCACUGAUGGCCAAGGUUGAUUCGGCUGAUCUGGCUGGCUAGACAGGUGUCCCCAUUCCUCCCUCACUGCUCCCUGUGCGAGCUUAGUGGAAGAGGACCGCCUUCCGGGAAUAGAGGGUUUACGAGUAGCUGCACUCCCCUGCUAGAACCUCCAAACAUGCUCUCAAAACUCUAGUUACAAAGGGAAAGACAGGAACUUACGGGGGAAUAUUAGAGUUACGCAUCACAACAGAUUAAAAGUAUUU